rnacentral:rRNA from 1 species
GGUGCUUGCACCAAAAUGAAACUAGAUACAAAGCGAAGCGGCGGACGGGUGAGUAACACGUGGGUAAACCUGCCCCAAGAGACUGGGGAUAACACCUGGAAACAGAUGCUAAUACCGGGAUAACAACACUAGACGCAUGUCUAGAGUUUAAAAGAUGGUUCUGCUAUCACUCUUGGGAUGGACCUGCGGUGCAUUAGCUAGUUGGUAAGGGUAACGGGCUUUACCCAAGGCAAAUGAUGCAUAGCCCGAGUUGAGAGACUGAUCGGGCCACAUUGGGACUGAGACACGGCCCAAAACUCCUACGGGAGGCAGCAGUAGGGAAUCUUCCACAAUGGACGCAAGUCUGAUGGAGCAACGCCGCGUGGGUGAAGAAGGGUUUCGGCUCGUAAAGCUCUGUUGGUAGUGAAGAAAGAUAGAGGUAGUAACUGGCCUUUAUUUGACGGUAAUUACUUAGAAAGUCACGGCUAACUACGUGCCAGCAGCCGCGGUAAU